GACGAACGCUGGCGGCGUGCUUAACACAUGCAAGUCGAACGGAAGGGCCCUGCUUGCCGGGUACUCGAGUGGCGAACGGGUGAGUAACACGUGGGUGAUCUGCCCUGCACUUCGGGAUAAGCCUGGGAAACUGGGUCUAAUACCGGAUAGGAGCCAGUGUUAGAGUGAUGGUUGGAAAGUUUUUUCGGUGUAGGAUGAGCUCGCGGCCUAUCAGCUUGUUGGUGGGGUAAUGGCCUACCAAGGCGGCGACGGGUAGCCGGCCUGAGAGGGUGGACGGCCACAUUGGGACUGAGAUACGGCCCAGACUCCUACGGGAGGCAGCAGUGGGGAAUAUUGCACAAUGGGCGCAAGCCUGAUGCAGCGACGCCGCGUGGGGGAUGACGGCCUUCGGGUUGUAAACUCCUUUCGCUAGGGACGAAGCUUUUUGUGACGGUACCUAGAGAAGAAGCACCGGCUAACUACGUG
rnacentral:rRNA from 1 species